GAUGAACGCUGGCGGCGUGCCUAAUACAUGCAAGUCGAACGGACAGACCAGGAUCUUGCGCCUUUGACGUUAGGGGCGGACGGGUGUAUCACACGUGGAACACCCACCUAUCAGACUGGGAAAACCACGGGAAAGCGGAUCUUACACCGUAGAAGAUCUUGAUGCGCGGUGGGCAAUAGUAAAAGACGGCUUUGGGGUCACUUCUAGAUGGAUCCGCGCUGGAUUAGCUAGUUGGGACGGUAAAGGCUUACCAAGGCAAGGAGGCGUAGCCGAAGUGAGAGACUGAUCGGCCACAUUGGAACUGAGACACGGACCAGACUCCUAAGGGAGGCCGCAGUAGGGAAUCGUACGCAAUGGGCGAAAGCCUGACGGAGCAACGCCGCGUGAGUGAUGAAGGCCUUCGGUUCGUAAAGCCCUGUUAUUAGGGAAGAACAGCUGUGUCAGGAAAUGAGGCGUGCUUGACGGUACCUGAUCAGAAAGCAACGGCUAACUACGUG
rnacentral:rRNA from 1 species